GUCGAGCGGUAACAUUUCUAGCUUGCUAGAAGAUGACGAGCGGCGGACGGGUGAGUAAUACUUGGGGAUCUGCCUGAUGGCGGGGGACAACCACUGGAAACGGUGGCUAAUACCGCAUAAUGCCUACGGGCCAAAGUGUGGGACCUUCGGGCCACAUGCCAUCAGAUGAACCCAAGCGAGAUUAGCUAGUUGGUGAGGUAAUGGCUCACCAAGGCGACGAUCUCUAGCUGUUCUGAGAGGAUGAUCAGCCACACUGGGACUGAGACACGGCCCAGACUCCUACGGGAGGCAGCAGUGGGGAAUAUUGGACAAUGGGCGCAAGCCUGAUCCAGCCAUGCCGCGUGUGUGAAGAAGGCCUUCGGGUUGUAAAGCACUUUCAGUGGUGAGGAAGGCGUUGUAGUUAAUAGCUGCAACGAUUGACGUUAGCCACAGAAGAAGCACCGGCUAACUCCGUGCCAGCAGCCGCGGUAAUACGGAGGGUGCGAGCGUUAAUCGGAAUUACUGGGCGUAAAGCGCACGUAGGCGGCUUGUUAAGCAAGAUGUGAAAGCCCAGGGCUCAACCUUGGAAUUGCAUUUUGAACUGGCAAGCUAGAGUUUUGAAGAGGGUGGUAGAAUUUCCAGUGUAGCGGUGAAAUGCGUAGAUAUUGGAAGGAAUACCAGUGGCGAAGGCGGCCACCUGGUCAAAAACUGACGCUGAGGAGCGAAAGCGUGGGGAGCAAACAGGAUUAGAUACCCUGGUAGUCCACGCCGUAAACGAUGUCAACUAGUUGUUCGUGUCUUUGAGACGUGAGUAACGCAGCUAACGCACUAAGUUGACCGCCUGGGGAGUACGGCCGCAAGGUUAAAACUCAAAUGAAUUGACGGGGGCCCGCACAAGCGGUGGAGCAUGUGGUUUAAUUCGAUGCAACGCGAAGAACCUUACCAUCCCUUGACAUCCAGAGAAUUUUCUAGAGAUAGAUUAGUGCCUUCGGGAACUCUGAGACAGGUGCUGCAUGGCUGUCGUCAGCUCGUGUUGUGAGAUGUUGGGUUAAGUCCCGCAACGAGCGCAACCCUUAUCCUUAGUUGCCAGCACGUAAUGGUGGGAACUCUAGGGAGACUGCCGGUGAUAAACCGGAGGAAGGUGGGGACGACGUCAAGUCAUCAUGGCCCUUACGGGAUGGGCUACACACGUGCUACAAUGGCGCACACAAAGGGCAGCAAGCUAGCGAUAGCAAGCGAAUCUCAAAAAGUGCGUCGUAGUCCGGAUCGGAGUCUGCAACUCGACUCCGUGAAGUCGGAAUCGCUAGUAAUCGUGGAUCAGAAUGCCACGGUGAAUACGUUCCCGGGCCUUGUACACACCGCCCGUCACACCAUGGGAGUGGGCUGCACCAGAAGUAGAUAGCUUAACCCUCGGGAGAGCGUUUACCACGGUGUGGUUCA
rnacentral:rRNA from 1 species